GACGAACGCUGGCGGCGUGCUUAACACAUGCAAGUCGAACGGUAAGGCCCUUCGGGGUACACGAGUGGCGAACGGGUGAGUAACACGUGGGUGAUCUGCCCUGCACUUCGGGAUAAGCCUGGGAAACUGGGUCUAAUACCGGAUAGGACCACUGCCUGCAUGGGUGGUGGUGGAAAGCUUUUGCGGUGUGGGAUGGGCCCGCGGCCUAUCAGCUUGUUGGUGGGGUGAUGGCCUACCAAGGCGACGACGGGUAGCCGGCCUGGGAGGGUGACCGGCGACACUGGAACUGGGAUACGGCCCAGACUCCUACGGGAGGCAGGAGUGGGGAAUAUUGCACAAUGGGCGCAAGCCUGAUGCAGCGACGCCGCGUGAGGGAUGACGGCCUUCGGGUUGUAAACCUCUUUCAGCACCGACGAAGCGCAAGUGACGGUAGGUGCAGAAGAAGGACCGGCCAACUACGUGCCAGCCGCCGCGGUAA
rnacentral:rRNA from 1 species